UGGCGGACGGGUGGAGUAACGCGUGGGUAACCUGCCCUGUACAGGGGGACAACAGUUAGAAAUGACUGCUAAUACCGCAUAAGCGCACAGGACCGCAUGGUCCGGUGUGAAAAACUCCGGUGGUACAGGAUGGACCCGCGUCUGAUUAGGUAGUUGGCGGGGUAACGGCCCACCAAGCCGACGAUCAGUAGCCGACCUGAGAGGGUGACCGGCCACAUUGGGACUGAGACACGGCCCAAACUCCUACGGGAGGCAGCAG
rnacentral:rRNA from 1 species